UUUUUUUUGUCUAAUUUUGGUUUAACACAAACGCACGACAGCGCCAGGCAGAGAAAGGGGAAGGAGAGAUUGACGCUAGCCUACGCGACGCCGCCUCCCUCUGACCUGUCGCCGGUGGAGACCCAAGCCCUAGCCACCACCGGCGAUAGCCAAGCCUUAGUCACUGCCGGCGAUAGCCCAAGCCUUAGUCACCGCCGGCGAAAGCCACUGAGCUGCGUCCCUUCUUCCCUCGCACAACCACUGACCCGCCUCCCUCCUCCCAUCUCAGGAGUUGAAUGAACCUGUGCUUUCAUUCCGUAAGUCUUUUGUCUUCAGCUGAAAGUUUUCGAAGGCCUCAGACACUGCUUCCACCUGCAACAAGUGGCUGAUGUGAUCAUCUUGGAUUGAGAAUACCUUAUCACUGUCAUAAUCCUGAAAAAGUCAAGCUGUAAAUUCUCACAAUGGGCAAAAUGUUCACCGACUCCUGUAGGAGGCUUAGGAUCAUGAAGGGCUCAGAGGCAAUUGGGCUAGCUCCAAGGGCCAUGGAGAAGUGUAAGAACCGUAACUAAAGUGGAAGUAUCAACAAAGACCAAAGGGAGGUGUUUCCUGGGUAUCAAAAGCUUUGAAGGAUUUUGAAGUUUGGUAUUCUAUUUUAGAAACCUAUGUGUUUUUGAUAUGUAUUAGCUUUUGUGUAGUUAAGAGACUGGAAAAUUUUCAUGUAAGGUAGAAGAUUUUUAACUAGAGACAUGGAUUAUUAUAUAAUUUCAUUUGUUUUUAUAUAUGUAUCUCUGAACUCAAAAGUGAUGUGUAAAUGGAUUGCUUGAUAUUUGUAAUUUCACUC